GACGAACGCUGGCGGCGUGCUUAACACAUGCAAGUCGAACGGAGAGGCCCUGCUUUUGUGGGGUGCUCGAGUGGCGAACGGGUGAGUAACACGUGAGUAACCUGCCCUUGACUUUGGGAUAACUUCAGGAAACUGGGGCUAAUACCGGAUAGGAGCUCCUGCUGCAUGGUGGGGGUUGGAAAGUUUCGGCGGUUGGGGAUGGACUCGCGGCUUAUCAGCUUGUUGGUGGGGUAGUGGCUUACCAAGGCUUUGACGGGUAGCCGGCCUGAGAGGGUGACCGGCAACAUUGGGACUGAGAUACGGCCCAGACUCCUACGGGAGGCAGCAGUGGGGAAUAUUGCACAAUGGGCGGAAGCCUGAUGCAGCAACGCCGCGUGCGGGAUGACGGCCUUCGGGUUGUAAACCGCUUUCGCCUGUGACGAAGCGUGAGUGACGGUAAUGGGUAAAGAAGCACCGGCUAACUACGUG
rnacentral:rRNA from 1 species